GCGUCCGUAGCUCAACGUGGAUAGAGCAUUGGCUUCCGGAGCCAAAGGUUGCAGGUUCAAAUCCUGCCGGACGCA
rnacentral:tRNA from 1 species